GGAAUUUUCCGCAAUGGGCGAAAGCCUGACGGAGCAAUCUCGCGUGAGGGAUGACGGCCUAUGGGUUGUAAACCUCUUUUUUCAGGGAGGAAUAAAUGACGUGUACCUGAAGAAUAAGCAUCGGCUAACUCCGUGCCAGCAGCCGCGGUAAGACGGAGGAUGCAAGUGUUAUCCGGAAUCACUGGGCGUAAAGCGUCUGUAGGUGGUUUAAUAAGUCAACUGUUAAAUCUUGAAGCUCAACUUCAAAAUCGCAGUCGAAACUAUUAGACUAGAGUAUAGUAGGGGUAAAGGGGAUUUCCAGUGGAGCGGUGAAAUGCGUAGAGAUUGGAAAGAACACCGAUGGCGAAGGCACUUUACUGGGCUAUUACUAACACUCAGAGACGAAAGCUAGGGUAGCAAAUGGGAUUAGAUACCCCAGUAGUC
rnacentral:rRNA from 1 species